AGCGUAGCUCAGUUUGGUAGAGCAACUGAUUUGUAAUCAGUAGGUCGGGGGUUCGAGCCCCUUCGCU
rnacentral:tRNA from 1 species